rnacentral:rRNA from 1 species
GAUCCUGGCUCAGGAUGAACGCUAGCUACAGGCUUAACACAUGCAAGUCGAGGGGCAGCAUGGUCUUAGCUUGCUAAGGCUGAUGGCGACCGGCGCACGGGUGAGUAACACGUAUCCAACCUGCCGUCUACUCUUGGCCAGCCUUCUGAAAGGAAGAUUAAUCCAGGAUGGGAUCAUGAGUUCACAUGUCCGCAUGAUUAAAGGUAUUUUCCGGUAGACGAUGUGG